CAGUCGCCACGGUAAUACGUAGGUCCCGAGCGUUGUCCGGAUUUAUUGGACGUAAAGGGAGCGCAGGCGGUUUAGUAAGUCUGAAGUUAAAGGCAUUGGCUCAACCAAUGUAUGCUUUGGAAACUGUUAGACUUGAGUGCAGAAGGGGAGAGUGGAAUUCCAUGUGUAGCGGUGAAAUGCGUAGAUAUUAGGAAGAACACCAGUGGCGAAGGCGACUUUCUGGACGAAAACUGACGCUGAGGCGCGAAAGCCAGGGGAGCGAACGGGAUUAGAUACCCGGGUAGUCCCUGUCUCUUAUACA
rnacentral:rRNA from 1 species